rnacentral:rRNA from 1 species
GAUGAACGCUGGCGGCGUGCCUAAUACACGCAAGUCGAGCGAACGGACGAGAAGCUUGCUUUUCUGAUGUUAGCGGCGGACGGGUGAGUAACACGUGGAUAACCUACCUAUAAGACUGGGAUAACUUCGGGAAACCGGAGCUAAUACCGGAUAAUAUUUUGAACCGCAUGGUUCAAAAGUGAAAGACGGUCUUGCUGUCACUUAUAGAUGGAUCCGCGCUGCAUUAGCUAGUUGGUAAGGUAACGGCUUACCAAGGCAGCGAUGCAUAGCCGACCUGAGAGGGUGAUCGGCCACACUGGAACUGAGACACGGUCCAGACUCCUACGGGAGGCAGCAGUAGGGAAUCUUCCGCAAUGGGCGAAAGCCUGACGGAGCAACGCCGCGUGAGUGAUGAAGGUCUUCGGAUCGUAAAACUCUGUUAUUAGGGAAGAACAUAUGUGUAAGUAACUGUGCACAUCUUGACGGUACCUAAUCAGAAAGCCACGGCUAACUACGUG